GAUGAAGAACGUAGCGAAAUGCGAUACGUAAUGUGAAUUGCAGAAUUCAGUGAAUCAUCGAGUCUUUGAACGCACAUUGCGCCCCCUGGUAUUCCGGGGGGCAUGCCUGUCCGAGCGUCAUUGCUGCCCUCAAGCAGGGCUUGUGUGUUGGGCCUCCGCCCCCCGGCUCCCGGGGGGCGGGCCCGAAAGGCAGCGGCGGCACCGCGUCCGGUCCUCGAGCGUAUGGGGCUUCGUCACCCGCUCCGUAGGCCCGGCCGGCGCCCGCCGGCGACCCCCCUCAAUCUUUCCAGGUUGACCUCGGAUCAGGUAGGGAUACCCGCUGAACUUAAGCAUAUCAAUAAGCGGAGGA
rnacentral:misc_RNA from 1 species